rnacentral:rRNA from 1 species
GCUCGUAGUUGGAUUUCGGUUGAGAGCGGCCGGUCCGCCGUUUGGUGUGCACUGGCUGGUUUCAGCUUCCUGCAGAGGACGCGCUCUGGGCUUAAUCGUCUGGACGUGGAGUCUGCGUGGUUACUUUGAAAAAAUUAGAGUGUUCAAAGCGGGCUUACGCUUGAAUAUUUCAGCAUGGAAUAACACUAUAGGACUCCUGUCCUAUUUCGUUGGUCUCGGGACGGGAGUAAUGAUUAAGAGGAACAGUUGGGGGCAUUCGUAUUUCAAUGUCAGAGGUGAAAUUCUUGGAUUUUUGAAAGACGAACUUCUGCGAAAGCAUUUGCCAAGGAUGUUUUCAUUAAUCAAGAACGAAAGUUGGGGGCUCGAAGAUGAUUAGAUACCAUCCUAGUCUCAACCAUAAACGAUGCCGACUAGGGAUUGGCGGAUGUUAAUUGAUGACUCCGCCAGCACCUUAUGAGAAAUCAAAGUUUUUGGGUUCCGGGGGGAGUAUGGUCGCAAGGCUGAAACU